CAUUGUUUUUCCUAUUAUCUGAUUUUUAAGACCAAGCAAGAAGACUGAAGUUCUUAAAUGUAUGAAAACCCUUUUCUCAAGGGUAGUUGCUUACACUUCCCUUCUAAGAACUCCAUUAAGACAAGGCUUAUUUGUCUGGUUCACCAUUGUAGCCACAGUCUAGCACUGUGUGUGUGUGUGUGUAUGUGUGUAUGUUGAUAAAUAUUUAAGUGAGGAAACUUUCAUUACUAUGCUUUGAAUCAAAACAAAAAUAAGCUCUUGCCUCAUAGGGGCAUGAAAGACUGGAUGGUACUAAAUUAUAACCCUGUUCAGCUACUAAUUUGAUGGAUAAUUUCAAAAGUGGUCCAGAAGGGGAAGAGGUAGGU